GAUGAACGCUGGCGGCGCGCCUAAUACAUGCAAGUCGAGCGAACAGACGAGGAGCUUGCUCCUCUGACGUUAGCGGCGGACGGGUGAGUAACACGUGGAUAACCUACCUAUAAGACUGGGAUAACUUCGGGAAACCGGAGCUAAUACCGGAUAAUAUAUUGAACCGCAUGGUUCAAUAGUGAAAGACGGUUUUGCUGUCAAUUAUAGAUGGCUCAGCGCCGCAUUAGUUAGUUGGUAAGGUAAAGGCUUAGCAAGGCAACGAUGCGUAACCGACCUGAGAGGGUGAUCGGCCACACUGGAACUGAGACACGGUCCAGACUCCUACGGGAGGCAGCAGUAGGGAAUCUUCCGCAAGGGGCGAGAGCCUGACGGAGCAACGCCGCGUGAGGGAUGAAGGUCUUCGGAUCGUAAAACUCUGUUAUUAGGGAAGAACAAAUGUGUAAGUAACUAUGCACGUAUUGACGGUACCUAAUCAAAAAGCCACGGCUAACUACGUG
rnacentral:rRNA from 1 species